rnacentral:rRNA from 1 species
UACGUAGGGAGCAAGCGUUGUCCGGAAUCAUUGGGCGUAAAGCGCGCGUAGGUGGCUUCGUAAGUCCCGUUGUGAAAGUCAAAGGCUCAACCUUUGAAAGCCGAUGGAUACUGUGAAGCUAGAGUACGGAAGAGGCGAGUGGAAUUCCUGGUGUAGCGGUGGAAUGCGCAGAUAUCAGGAGGAACACCAAUAGCGAAGGCAGCUCGCUGGGACGUUACUGGACACUGAGGCGCGAAAGCGUGGGGAGCGAACAGG